AACGUCGAGAGAGGUUCGUUCGCCCUUCGACGACGCCAGGAGGUUUGUUCUCGGCCUGCGACUAUGAGAGGUUCAUUCGGCCUGAGAUUGAGAGGAGAGGAGAGAACCCAGCGAAAAUGAAAGCAAAUAAUUCCGUGUAGAGCAGCUUGUUUGCACAACUCUUUCAUGUGUAGCUGCAAUGCGUAAGAACAACCAACUGUCAAACGAAAUUCUCACGGGGUCAAUGUGAAAGCCUGAGAUUCCACCAACAAUAAUUUCUACUGGGCCUCCUUGAUCUGUUGCAAAGAUCCUUGCAGAUGCGUCACCCAAUUUUCAAAGUCUUGUUCAGUUGCCUCUCAUCUUUGAUUGUAAAAACUUUCGAUGGGGGAUGUUCUGAAGUCGGAUUGUCAUGCCCGUUUCGCUGGAAGAGUACGGGAUAGCACAGAUGUACAUAGUGACGAAGAUGCAGCAAAAGAACACGACUAGUACUGAAGGGAUUGAAGUAUUAGAGAGCAGACCCUUUGAAGAUAAUGUGUAUGGAACGGGUCAAUACACUAGUUUAUCGUCUGCAAAGCAAAGUUCCUUCUUGGCUUACGAAAGUUGCACCAGCUCAUGCUCUCGUCGAAGCCGUUGGAACGCAUACCCAAGAUGCAAAUCAGUACUCAAGAUCUCUCGUAAAUGGACUCAUCACAUCACAACAUUGUUGUUCUUUGGGUUUGGGCUGUGGUCUUUAUGGGAUGGAUUUACCGAGGAAGGGGAGGCUGAAGAGUUGGCCGAGGUCGGAGCAAAAUUGGUUGCUGAUUGGAAGGCUGACACAGAGACCACGAGAAGAAUAAUAAGAUACGGCUUAUUACAAUCUUAUAUAUUUCAAUGGCCUAAACCGAUUUCCCCACUCUUGCUUCCAUGUUUUCAUUUUAGUGACUGCUGCUAUUGCCAUCUGUUAUUUCACUAAAAAAUGGAAACCAUCUAUUGGAAAUGUUCAGAAGAUAGCUACUAUACUCUUUACAUGCGUGUUUAGACUUCAGACAUCUUUAAUUUUGGCACUCUGUUUUGACUAUAGGAUUAUGCAUUAGAUGCCUCUUGAACUUACAGGUGAGCAGAUAUAUCAUGAGUCAUGUUUGGAUAAUUUAUAAGCUUUUUUUCAUCGUUCCUUGCAUUGCAUCUAUGAUUUGAAAAAGUUGAAACGGCCAUUUCUCUCACAAUUCUUUUCUCCAAUCUUUAUGAAGGUUAUACUCCUAUGGCUUAUUAUAAUAAAAACAAAGCAGGGAUAACAAACGCCUAACCAGUUUCAUGAUGUUCAUACUGCAGGCAUUUUCUAUUGUGUAUUUUCGAUAUGAUGGGGCAACAAGAGCCAGGCAUCGAACAAUACGGAUGUUCUGACUUCAUGCAAAAGAUCAGAAGAGUAAUUAAUUUGGUGGGGUGAUAUGGCUAGUUGCUGCUUGGGCUGAGCAGCAACAAUGUCAGUUUGCUAUCUUCAAGUCGCCACCUUUCUUGAUAAAAGUGAUAUGUAGGACUGUGGGUGCAACUGUUGAUGAAAAGUCCCACUUAAAUAGACAUGUGGAACUUAGUAGCUGUUUAUUUUAGUGAUAGUAGAGUCUUCAAAUAACUUAUAAUAGUGAUAUUUAUCUAUUAUAUAAUUAGUAGGUCAGCUUAUACUUGAUAUGAUCAGUAUAAUGCACCACCCAGUAUAAAAAUAUAUAUGAGCUUGGUUGAA